ACAUCAAACAUGACUUUUGAGGCGAAGAGAGCAGCGCUGACACCUGUAAACGAAGAGGGUGAGCGAGGUUGCGAGGGUCUUCUCUAACCUGUGUCAACGGAUUCGUCAAUUCCUAAAUUAAUGGAUUUAAUAAUGUUGAAAAAACCGCAAGGCAGAAUGGAAAGACGGAGCAGACCCCCGUCCAGUAGGGGGCGGUGAUGCGCUUCAGCGUCACUGUCCCGCCGCCACAAAGAAGAGAAGUGUGUGAGCUGAAAGUCACGGCAGAAGUGCGUGUCGCCCACAAGUCUUGUUCCCGAUCGAAGCCAUGGCCGACGAGUUCAUGAGCUACCGCUCCCCGCUGGUGUCCCGCUACGCCAGCAAGGAAAUGGCGUUCAACUUCAGCGACCGGAAGAAGUUCAGCACCUGGAGGAAGCUGUGGAUCUACCUGGCCAAGGCUGAGAAGACUCUCGGCCUGCCCAUCACCGAGGCGCAGAUCCAGGAGAUGGAGAAGCACGCGGAGGACAUCAACUUCACCAUGGCGGCCGAAGAGGAGCGCAAGCUCCGCCAUGACGUCAUGGCUCAUGUGCACACCUUCUCCCACAUCUGCCCUGCGGCAGCGCCCAUCAUCCACCUGGGGGCAACGUCCUGCUACGUGGGCGACAACACUGACCUGAUCGUGCUGCGGGACGGCUUCGACAUCCUGCUGCCGAAGCUAGCCAGGGUGAUGGACCGGCUGGCCAGCUUCGCGGAGAAGCACGCCGCCCUGCCCACGCUGGGCUUCACACACUACCAACCGGCCCAGCUCACCACGGUGGGCAAGAGGACCUGUCUGUGGCUGCAGGACCUGGCCAUGGACAUGCGGAACAUGCAGCGAGCUCGCAGUGACCUGCGCUUCCGGGGCGUCAAAGGGACGACGGGCACUCAGGCCAGCUUUCUGCAGCUGUUCCAGGGCGACCACGACAAGGUGGAGGAGCUGGACCGGCUGGUCACCGAGAUGGCUGGAUUUAAGAAAGCCUACCUCGUGACCGGACAGACCUACAGCCGCAAGGUGGACAUCGACUGUCUGUCCACUCUGGCCAGUCUCGCAGCAACCAUACACAAGAUCUGCAGCGACAUCCGUCUGCUGGCCAACCUGAAGGAGAUGGAGGAGCCGUUUGAGAAGGAGCAGAUCGGUUCCAGUGCCAUGCCCUACAAGAGGAACCCCAUGCGGUCGGAGCGCUGCUGCAGCCUGGCUCGCCACCUGAUGGCGCUGAUGUCCGACCCUCUGAACACAGCGUCGGUGCAGUGGCUGGAGAGGACGCUGGACGACAGCGCCAACCGGAGGAUCUCCCUGCCUGAGUCCUUCCUCACCGCCGACAUCAUCCUCAGCACGCUGCAGAACAUCUCGGAGGGCCUGGUGGUCUACCCCAGAGUGAUUGAGCGCCACAUCCGUCACGAGCUGCCCUUCAUGGCCACGGAGAACAUCAUCAUGGCCAUGGUGAAGGCAGGCGGCAACAGACAGGACUGCCACGAGAAGAUCAGGGUUCUAUCGCAGGAGGCGGCGGCCGUCGUCAAACAGGAAGGAGGUGACAACGACCUGCUGGCCAGGGUCCAGGCAGACCCUUACUUUGCCCCCAUUCUGGACCAGUUGGACUCCCUUCUGGACCCCAAGACCUUCAUUGGCCGAGCCCCUCAGCAGGUGGUCAGGUUCCUGGCCGAGGAAGUGCGCCCCCUGCUGGAGCCUUUCCAAACCAAAAUGGACGUUAAAAUAGAGCUGGAACUCUAAGAGCUGCUUUGGAGGUCCCAGUGGAAGCUCUGCAAACCUGGUUUAAACAUCAGCUGACAAAGCAGCUCCGCAUCUGCGGCCUCUAGAGCAGACUGGUAGCUGCGGUGCGCGUGUGUGACGCUGGAGGGCGCUGUCCAACCGCUCGUCACUCGACCCACCGGGUCUUCUCACCGAUCAUGCGAGUUUUUGGGAGCCAGAGAGGAAUCAUGGAGGGAUGCGAGUGGAACCGAAGAUCGUCACAUCUUUACAGCCAGACCUGGGUCUUCAAACGAAGGCAAGAGAAUCCAGUGACAGGGUUCAUGUCAUUCAUCUCUGACCUUCGUCUUGUCCUUGUUGCUUCAGUGUUUUCUUCCCAUCAUGUCGUGUGGUUCUCCCCCACAGCAGUGCUUCCUACAAGUCUGGCCCUGAACGAGCCGCGACCCAGAGUAAACACACUUUAUGUUCUGAAGCAGCUGUGAGAAGAUCUGCGAGGUCCGGGCUCCUGCCGUCCCUCUGAGAGCUUCUGACUCACUGCUCUGACUUGUGCAGCCCAGGCACAGCUUCACUAUGACAUGUUGGAGGAGAUCAAUCGCCUCUGGAAGCGUCUUGAUCCCGAGGCCUUGUGCAGCUGUGCUGCGGGCGGGUCUUUGUUUGGCGGCGGAAUGCGCUUGGCAUUUCACAGAAAGGGCAUCUUUCAUGGCUGCGGGAGGCGAGGAGAAGACCUCUGGAUCCAAGUCUGCACAAGUGCUGGCGUCGGUCACUCGCUCCGGCCCGGAACCUGCCCUUUACCCGAGGAAUGUGCAGGCAUGGAGCUGCUGGUGGCAGUGCCUCUGUGACGUCAGAUGCUUCAGCGCAGGAGCGUGUUCGAACACUGCAUCACCAGUUGGACCACAGAGGCACCUUGAUCCAAGUAGAAUACUUUGGUAAAUUCAGAUGUGAUUUUGAAGGGGACAGAUGAAAACUGCUGCAGAAGCACGUGCAGCGACCUUUGUUUCGUGCAGCAGUGGUUUACUGAGGAAUUACGUCUCCGCGCCUUUUCUCUUUUGUUGCGUUUUCACGUCACAUCCCAGGCCGUUUUAGAUCCCUGCUCCCAGCUUUGUUCACUGCAAUUCUUCUUCUUCGCGUAUCGUCAUUCUUCUCAAACGAAAACUUGAUUUUGUCAUAUUUUCUCAUGAUCCCAUUUAUUUUGAAGAUUCCACUGUUGCAUCAUGGGACGUGGGGGACGCCACUGACCAGCUGGACUUGGUCCCGGUCGUGGUGGACAACCCAACUGUAGGCCACGCUCUUUCUUCUGUGGACGCUCCAGAUCCAGGAGCCUAGGCAGACCUGCCGUCCAACUCCAUGGGUCUUUGUUCUCACUAUUGGUUGGGAUCUGAGCUUCAGUUGCCCGUCACAUCCUCCUUUCGGGCACUGUGGUGUGAACCUUUCCUGCCCACAGCACAGAGUGAUGCCGGCCUCUUGCAGGAGUCUCUCUCUCUCUCUUUCUCUUUCUCUCUCUCUCGCUCUCUCUCUCUCGUUAAAAGUUCAUUUCUCCCCCCUCUGGCUGGCUUCGUUCCCACUCAACAAUAGGCUAUUCUGUGGCGUCCCGUGCGAGCGACGGCACACCCAAAGCCAAGGCCGCGGUGCGAGGGGAGCGCUGGACGGUGGCCAGCCCUGAGGGACACAGGCUCGAUUCUCGUCUGGGAAUGUGAGUGACUUCAGAUCCCAGCGUCUCUGCGAGGACGUCAGGGCUGGCACGAGUCACAUGACCUGUGCAGGUUCCUCCUCACUCACGAUGACCGUUCUUGUGGGAACGGGGGGGUCCCCUGCCUUCCGCCCGGUGUGGCUGGCAUGCACUGGCCUGAGCUGCAGUAAAUGCCUAGAGGACCAACUAGUUAUGUUUCGAUGAGUCAACAUUACUCAGCCGGAAUCGCUGUGAUGUCAGCGAGCGAGGCAGGGUUUUGGUUUCAGAAGCUUGGAGCCAUGUUCUUGGGUUGUAAGAAGAAAUGACGUCCUCAGAGUUGUUAGCAUGGCUGCUAACGAUGCUAACAAUGCUAACGGUCCUGUCAUGUACACCAGGGGUUCUCAACCACAGGGCCGGGGCCCAUGGUUGGGCCGCGAGCGCCCCCUAGAGGGCUGCUAGAAGUUCUUUGUUUCACACCUCUG